AGCAGCCGCGGUAAUUCCAGCUCCAAUAGCGUAUAUUAAAGUUGUUGCAGUUAAAAAGCUCGUAGUUGAAUUUCGGGAUCAGUAUGUUGGUCGUGCUUCGGUACGUACUGUCAUUACUGGUUUCUACCUUCUGAAGAACCUUGAUGUCAUUAAUUUGGUGUCUUGGGGAAUCAGGACUGUUACUUUGAAAAAAUUAGAGUGUUUAAAGCAAGCAUACGCUUGAAUACAUUAGCAUGGAAUAAUGAAAUAGGACGUUUGAUUCUAUUUUGUUGGUUUCUAGGAUCGACGUAAUGAUUAAUAGGGAUAGUUGGGGGCAUUAGUAUUCAAUUGUCAGAGGUGAAAUUCUUGGAUUUAUUGAAGACUAACUACUGCGAAAGCGUUUGCCAAGGAUGUUUUCAUUAAUCUAAGAACGAAAGUUAGGGGAUCGAAGACGAUCAGAUACCGUCGUAGUCUUAACCAUAAACUAUGCCGACUAGGGAUCGGAUGAUGUUAUUUUAAUUGACUCAUUCGGCGCCUUAAC
rnacentral:rRNA from 1 species